rnacentral:rRNA from 1 species
UAUCUCUGUAGAGUCUGCAUAUCAAUAAGCGGAGGAAAAGAAACUAACAAGGAUUCCCCUUAGUAACGGCGAGUGAAGCGGGAAGAGCUCAAAUUUGAAAUCUUCAAGGUUCUACCUUGACGAAUUGUAGUUUAUAGAAGUGUUUUCUGUUAGUGGGGUGGCAAAAGUUCUUUGGAAUAGGACAUCAUAGAGGGUGAGAAUCCCGUAUUUGGUCAUUCCUUCUAGCUUUGUGAUACACUUUCAAAGAGUCGGAUUGUUUGGGAAUGCAGUCCAAAAUGGGUGGUAAAUUUCAUCUAAAGCUAAAUAUUGGCGAGAGACCGAUAGCGAACAAGUACCGUGAGGGAAAGAUGAAAAGAACUUUGAAAAGAGAGUUAAACAGUACGUGAAAUUGUCAAAAGGGAAGCGUUUGACACCAGUGUUGUUUUUCCGAAAAUCAAUUAAGAAUGUUUUAUUUUUGAGGAGUUAUGACUUCAUCGGCUUGCUCCUUUCUUUAUGGAACUUUCUUAAUGCACUUUUCGGUUAACAAGUCAACAUCAAUUUCUUUUGUUGUAAAAGAGUAUGAGGAAGGUGGCUUUCUUUUCGGAGAAAGUGUUUAUAGCCUUGUACUUCUGCAAUCGGAGAGAUUGAGGUCUGCAGCGUAGAUCCCUCGGGGUUAGAUACACUUGUGCUAAGUUAUAGCUUUUCAUAGACAACUUGUUGAUUAUGAUUAGUCUUGUAGCUUACUCGCUUGUGCUAUUUUACCUACGCUUAGGAUGUUGAGUAGCGACAUACGCAC